AGCUUUGCACAGUGGCAGUAUCGUAGCCAAUGAGGUUUAUCCGAAGUGUGAUUAUUGCUAAUUGAAAACUAAAGUACCCUAGAUGUAUGAUGGUUUAUCAGAAUUCUUACAUGGUGCUCAGAUAAAGCAG
ensembl:snRNA U4 U4 spliceosomal RNA